rnacentral:rRNA from 1 species
GACGAACGCUGGCGGCGCGCUUAACACAUGCAAGUCGAACGGCAAGGCCUGCUUUCCCUUGUGGUUUGCGGGUACUCGAGUGGCGAAGGGGUGAGUACAACGUGAGUUACUUGUUCCCACGUUGGAUAUAAGCCUGGGAUACUCGGUUAACUCCCAGAUCGUACUGCAGGGUGGAGCCGGUGUUGGGACCUGAUGUGCUAGUGGUUGCGGAUGAGCUCGCGGCCUAUCAGCUUGUUGGUGGGGUAAUGGCCUACCAAGGCGGCGACGGGUUGCCAGCCUGAGAGGGUGGACGGCCACAUUGGGACUGAGAUACGGCCCAGACUCCUACGGGAGGCAGCAGUGGGGAAUAUUGCACAAUGGGCGGAAGCCUGAUGCAGCGACGCCGCGUGGGGGAUGACGGCCUUCGGGUUGUAAACUCCUUUCGACCGCGAGGAAGCCACCUGGUUGGAAGGGUGGUGACGGUAGUGGUAGAAGAAGCACCGGCUAACUACGUG